rnacentral:ncRNA from 1 species
UCAAAGAUGAUGAAGGAGACAUGUUGUAUCCAGUCCCUUAUUCCAGAGAGCCGGGUUUAAGGUGGAAGACCGGUAAUAAUACUGGAUACAAGAUCACUCCGGAGUUGCACCGCCCAACGUCUGCCUUGUUAAAGCGGGCCAGUAGGUGGUGUCGGUAAAAGCCGUUAUCCCAAAAAAGUGGUUGCUCUGGCGGCAAUCAGGGUGGUACCGCGGGAUACCUCUCGUCCCUGAA